rnacentral:pre_miRNA from 1 species
AGUGAAAUUGCUGGGCCAUAUGGUAAUCCCAUGCUUAACUUUUUGAGAAAUUGCUGAACUGUUUUCCACAGUGACUGCAUCAUUUUACAUUCCCACUAGCAAU